rnacentral:lncRNA from 1 species
GAAGGACAUCCACAGAGCUGGUCAGUCAAGAAUGAAACCUAUGCACCAAACUGAGAAAAGCUGUUGAUAGAGGAAUUUUAAAGAAGGAAUAGGGAGAGGACUACUUCUCUGUUUUUAGCUGGAAGUUCUAUCAUGUACAAAUGCUUUUGAUCACUACUUACAGCAUGUCCAGCAAUGAUGGCUUGAAAAUGGGAGAUUAUUGUAUGACAAGAAGUCCUAUGCAGGAGGAUUUUCUGGUUAUAACAACUGCUCUAUCAUGCAUCAAGGACAUAGGUUAUAUAUGUCUUUUCUGUCCUUCAUUCUCAGUGAUUUCACUACCCUAGAACCAAAAUGAACCAUGUUACACAAAUGAAGUUGGGAAAUUUCUUCGCUCCGUAUACGCACAUAUGUAGACAGCUCCAUAUCCCACAACCUCGUGAUAAUGAAAUCCCUCGCCUCUAGGAAACAUCACAGAAUAUCAGCUUGGGAACACUGUGUGUUUUGCAUGUCAAUCUUGUAAGCAUGAAGACCUACUUAUAGUAAGGUCAUAUGUGUUCUAUAAUGUAUUUGAAAGAUUUCUAACUUAUCACCUAUUUAUUCUUC